rnacentral:lncRNA from 1 species
UAGCUUUCUGGAGGCAUGGAGCCUAUGAGACAGUACAACAGCCAGUGAAGUCCACCCCAUUAAUAAGGACUACUCAGUUUAUUAAUGUGCUGCUCCGAGGGAAAUGCCUCCAGUAGGUGUCUGCUGGUGUUUGUUGAACACCUUUUCUGGGAUCCUUGAAACCAAAGCAAACUCUAGUGGUGCAAAGACCAAGAAACUGCGAGGGAGAACUCAAUGCCCAGUUGGAGAAGUGGUGCUGUUCGCCUAAAAAUCAACAGAUACUCUCCUAUGUACAAGUUUCUUUCAAAAUACAGUUCAUAUGAGGACCAUAGUCUUCUUGGAAUAUGUCAUUUGCAGAUAAGGCAAGAUAGCACAUCCUGUUAUGCCUCAGUCAAGGAGAAUAUUGGUUGUAUGAGAUUGUUCUGAAAUCAGGGCCGUGAUCCGCCCACAGGCCAGCUACCUUAUUCAACUCCUUUGAAGCUCCGUGUGAGUCCUGGAUGGAAUUUGGCUGCUCCCAGGUGCUUGAUGUGUGCUCUAAGCAAGUCCCAAGACUUGCUGGAAGCAAGAGGGAAAGGCUGCAUCCUGGGUAAGUCACUGACCUGGAAUGGCUUCAUUUCCUUGCUCUGACAGAUAUUUCCUCUGCAGUUUUGACCCUAUCGUUUAAUUGCUCCAAGCCUCAGUUUUCUUAUCUAUGUGCUGUCUAGAGAUAACAGUGCUUCCAUGCAUCCUAAUAGCAGUGGAAAUAGGUGUGCUUAGGCUUGUUUGGCGAAACAAGGACCUUGUUGUCUCAGGAGGGCUAAUCUUUAGCAUACCAUCAGCUCUGUUGACUUGUCCAGCAUUUUUGGAAGCAUUAAGGUUGAUUUUCAGAAGUUAAUUUCAACUUUUUCUUGACCGUUUAUUGGUAAGAAGAAAAAACAUCUCAACUUAAUGUUUUGCUUUAGACUAAAGUCUGCUUUUAAACUGACUGCAGUAAUGGAAUUGUUUCAUAUUUCUAAGACUUUUUUUUUUUUCUUUAGAAGAAAUAUUUGCUUUUGUAAAACAGAAUGAUUUUUUUAGUUGUAAUCUGGCAUUAAAAUAAUAGAUGAUAUUUCGUAAGGCAGAUUCCCACAUAAAGAAUUAAAAAUCUUCCUUCAUGACCUGAAUCAAUUCAGGUACCUGUAUUGUUUUCAAACCUGGGUGAGAAAAGGACUUAGGGGGAAAAAAAAGAAAAAACAAAACCCAACACACCUCAAAGAGCUGAAUGUUAGAGUGCCAUCUAGUGCUUCAUUAAUUAACUGAUUUACUGCAACUUCUGUGUUUCUGCCACUCUCCCUUAUGCCUGAUCUCCGAGGGCUUACUUGGAAAAGCUUACUGCAAGUUCUGAAGGUAAUCAGUUGAUGGUGAAUGAGCUGCCUUCAGCAGACUCGAAGUGCUGAGCAAUGGCAUGGAAAAGAAAACUGAAAUCUUUUUCCCCAUAAAUUUUACAUGAUUUGGUAGAACGCACUGUGAAAACCCGGACUUCAGUUGCAAUGACAAUGCUAUAUAUAUAUAUAUAUAUGAGAGAAGUCAUUAUGAAGGAUCUGAUUCUUUACCUUAUAAUGGUAACUGAAAGAGACUGUGAUACGCAAACUGAUAUAAAAGCAGCGUGGGUAAAAGAAUAAAACCAUCAUGCUUCAAUUAAAAUGAGCA